CUGGAUAUGAUGAGGAAUUUGAAGAUUGAUCUCACCGCGAUUGAUCGUGUAUUCAUACGGUCUGAUCCAG